AAGAUAUGGAGAGUGUUGCUGAAGUAGUUGGCGUCUGUGUUUGCUUCUUGCCAAGGCCUCCGGAUAAGGUCAUGAUGCUUCAAACAUUCCCUUUGAUGACUACCCUCAGAGAUUGUCUUUCUUCAGAUAGGCAGUGGAUUAAGGGGAGCUUAUUCUUUUAGUGAAGAACUCCCACAUAUUUAGGUUACGUUUGAUUGGAAUUCGUCUUGUUUUGGUGAUAUCACGGCUUCUCAAAGGCUUUCUGAGAGUUGUUUUGAAAAUACGUUCCCUUGUUGAUUUGAUAUACAGGAGAAAUGUUAGUAUGUAGAUGUCU
rnacentral:misc_RNA from 1 species